UAAGAAAAGUAGAAUGCAAAGAAUCUCGAUAUAAUAAUGAGCAGAAUUGAUGGAGAUCUCAAGGAUGUUACUUAAAUUAAACAAUAAAUAAUACAGAUUAUUAAAACAAAAGAACAUUGAACACAUAAUAAGCAAACCCGAUCAUUUCGAGAAGCAUAUAUCAAAUUUUGGCUGAGGAAAUGGAGUUUGCCAAAAAAGGCCAAAAAGGAACACAUCAAAUUUUGGCUGAGGAAAUGAAGUUGCCAAAAAAAGGCCAAAAAGGAAUAAAAAUCAUGGAAUUAAAUGGCGAAAAUGACUGAAUAGUUAAAAUUAGUAGUAGGUCGGAGGAGGAGAUGAUGAUGGGGGUGGAGGUGAACCAUACGUGGCGGAUUGCUCGUACUUCUCAGGCGGUGCUGGUGACACAUAGGCAGGAGUUUGCUUAUAAUAGUUAGUUGGUGGUGGAGGUGAGUAAUAAGAUGGUGAUUUUUCAUAGGUCUUUGGUAGAGACGGCAAGUUGUAAGUUAUAGGUGGUUGCUCGUAGUAUUUUGGUGGAGGUGGAGGAGAUUUAUAAGAAGGUGUAGAUCCUUUGUAGUAUGGAGGAGGUGGAGAUUUAUAAGAAGAUAGUGAUUGCUCAUAGUAUUUUGGUGGGGAUGGAGAUGACUUGUAAUAAGGUGAUUGCUCAUAAUAUUUUGGAGGAGGUGGUGUAUGUUGGAGGAGGUGGGGGUGAAUUAUAGUACGAAGGUGAUUUCUCAUAAUAAGUUGGCGGUGGUGGAGAUUUAUAGUAAACUGGGGACUUGUAAUUUUUUUUUGGUGCCGGUAACUUAUAAUAUUUAGAAGGAGCAGGUGAUUUAUAGUAUUUUGUUGCGGAUGGUGACGUGUAGUACUUUGCAGGUGAUGGCGCUUUGUAGUACUUUGCAGGUGAUGGUGACUUGUAGUAGUUCAAUGAAGGAGCUGGUGACUUGUAGUAUUUUGAAGGAGCUGGUGACUUGUAGUAUUUUGCAGGAGCUGGGGACUUGUAGUAUUUUAUGGGAACUGGCGAUUUGUAGUGUUUUACAAGAGCUGGCACCUUGUAGUAUUUUGCGGGAACUGGCGAUUUGUAAUAUUUUGCACUGGCGAUUUGUAGUAUUUUACAAGAGCUGGCACCUUGUAGUAUUUUGCGGGAACUGGUGAUUUGUUAUAUUUUGCGGGAGCUGGAGAUUUGUAAUAUUUUACGGGAGCUGGCGACUUGUAAUAGUGCUUUACAGGAAGAGGUGACUUAUAGUAAGGAAUAGGUACAUGAUACUUGGAUGGAGAUGGAGAUUUGUAAUACUUCUUAGAGGUGUAAGAAGGUGAGGGAGAAGCAUACCCAUAAGAGUAAUCAGCAACGACAGAGCUGGCUAUAAAGCAAAUUGCCAAAGCAACUGCAAGUAAAGGCCAUUGUCCCAGCUUCCCUAUGCUUGUCAUUUUGCUUAUGAUACAACCAAUAUUUGGAGAAAGAAUGAAAAGAACUUAAACUUGACUUGCAUAUUGAGUAGGGAGCUCUGGCUUUUAUAUAGGAACAUAAUAUUAUCAUUUUAGGGUUGUGUUAUUGGGCAUCCACUAAGAUUAUAGCUAAUUCAAAAUAUGGACUUCAUCUUUUCUAGAAUUAGUGGUCGGAAUUUUCUCCAGUCGAGUAGAAAACUCUGGCUUUUAUAUUUCAGUGAGAUAUCUUUAUUAAUUAGGACUAACAUUUAUGUAAUUGUUCUUGGUUAGCCACAAAGAUUAUAUAGCAAAGGCCAAAUAAAUAAGGGCCUUUUCACUUUUAUUCUGUCAAAAAUUAUUUAUAUUUAAUAGCCGAAAAAAUUUAUAAAUUUUUUUGUGAUUUUUAUUUAUAACAUAUAGAAUUUAUAUAUACACAUAAAAUAUAUAUAUUUUCGACUAUUAUUUUGAAAGCUGUUAGAGUAUCAUUUUCUAAUAAAUACUAAGCCAGUACUUAAUGGUUAGCUUUUUUCUGGUGACUGGAAAACAAUUUAGAGAUAAAUAUUAAAAAUGGAGAAAACAAUAAGGAUGCCACGACUUGCAUCCCAUUAGCGUAAAUUAAGUUGACUUUUACAAAUAACUACGGUAUGCUAUUGAAUAUGCAGUUCAAAAACUAUCAGGAAAACCAGCAAAUACAAAAACCAGAGUAUACCUUAAGAGGUCAUUUGAUUCAGUUAUAGAAUAUUCAAUGAGACUAUAAUUCUGGGAUAGGAUGGUUGAAGUAAGGUUGAGAAUGACGGUGUCCGUUUCCGACAACCAGUUUGAUUUCACGCCGUGUCGUAUUACUGCUGAAGCUAUACAUCUUGCUAGGAAGUUGGCUGAACCAUAGAGAGAUAGAAAGAAAUACCUGCACAUGGGGUUAUUAUGGGGUUACCCCAAGGUUUUGCACUCAGUCCGUUCCUAUCCGCCCUAGUGAUGGACGCUUUAUCACAUCACAUUCAAGAGGAUGUGCCAUGGUGCAUGCUAUUUACUGAUAACAUAGUUUUGAUUGAUGAGUCACAAACCAGUGUUAACGAGAAGCUGGAGGUUUAAAGGCAUGCUCUUAAAUCUAAGUUUUUCAAGCUUAGCAGGAAAAGACGAAAUACCCGGAGUGUAUGUUCACGGCUGAACAGAGGGAAGUGGGUGUGAAUGUGAGGCUUGAAUCCCAGGUCAUCCCGAGUAGAGACAUCAUCAAGUACCUUGGGUCGGUUAUCCGGGGGAGGGGGGGGGGGAAGAUCGACAAGGNNNNNNNNNNNNNNNNNNNNNNNNNNNNNNNNNNNNNNNNNNNNNNNNNNNNNNNNNNNNNNNNNNNNNNNNNNNNNNNNNNNNNNNNNNNNNNNNNNNNNNNNNNNNNNNNNNNNNNNNNNNNCCAUAUUGGGUAGAAUUGAUAAAGUGGAGGUUAGCAUAUGGAGUAUUGUGUGACAAGAGAGUGCCACUGAUACUCAAAGGUAAGUUCUAUAAAGCGGUGCCGGCCAUGAUGUAUGGGGCAGAGUGUUGGCUAGUUAAGAAAUCACAUACCCAGAAGAUGAAGGUAGCAUAAAUGAGGAUGUUGAGAUAGAUGUGCGGGCAUAUUAGGAUGGAUAAGUUUCGGAAUAAUGAUAUUUGGAAGAGGUGUGCGUAGCUCCCAUUGAUGACAAGAUGUGGGAAGUAAGGCUCAGAUUGUUCCGGCAUGUUCAGAGGGAAAGCCCAGAUGCUACGGUAAGGAGGUGCGAACGACUGGUUGUGGAGGGCACGAGAAGAGGUAGGGGCGGCCUAAGAAGCAUUAGGGGGAGGUAGGAAGGAUAUGAAGAGUCUUCAGAUUUACGAGGAAAUGACACUUGAUAGAAAUAUAUGGAGGUUGAGUAUGAGGAUUGCACGUUAGGAGGUAGUCGAGUCUUGUCUUAUGUCAUAACUUUGUGUUACUAGUUUGGUAGGGAUACUAUUUUGCUUUUGGUUUGUAUCAUUCUUCUUGAUUGCAUGUUGUUUCUAUUUUUCGUAUUUUUUCACAUUAUAUCUGUGGUGUUACUAAUAUUAUCUUCUUUUGUAUUUUUGUCUUCUUGAGCAGAGAAUCUUUCGAACCACAACUAGAUCAUAAUUUUUUUAAUAGAGCUUCUAUUGUUAAAAAUUGUAGUGAGAUAGAAUUGAACUCACAACCUCUUCUAACUUAAGAGUCUAUAAAAACAAUGGAUUAAGGUUAUUUCUUAUUGAGUAAUAUGAUAAUAAAUAUUAUUUAUUAUGUGCUCUUCUAUAAAUAUCGACACCAUUUACGAAAAUCAUACGUACGCCCCUACAUGUGGUAUGAAUACUAUUUCGGUAUUAGCUUAUAUCCACAUUCAAAUAGGAGAUAACUAUUCACAAAUUUUAUACACGGAUUAAUAUCUUUAUCGUGUUAACCAAACGACCCCUAAAUGUAUCGGUAUGAGUGUAUUGAGAAAAUUUGAGUUUACAUUUAAAGUGGAAUAAAGAUGACGUCUCAAGGACACGUAGACUGGUAAAAAAUAUACAACUGGCAAAGAGAUACGAGUUGCAACAGAUACGAGCAAAGACUGAGGAAGAGGCACGGUAGUUAUUCAAGUGACUCAGCGCCCGUACCUAUUUAAGUCCUUGAAGUCCGAGAAUCAAAGAAAAUGAGUCUGAUAAUAUAAAAGAAUACAGAUAUAGCAUUUAAUGUUGAAUACAUUAGGGAAUCUGUAUUAAUAUAAUGAUAAUGUAACGUAGCAUUCAAUGUCUUUAAUUACUCAUAAUAUCCUCAUUAUGGCAUAGGCAAAAUGUUUAAAAGGGAGAUAAUUGAUCUAUUGUGAGGACACGAAAUAAUAUCUGAAUAUACAUUGGUUUACUUGAUUCUAUUUAUCUUAACUCUAGCCAAAUUACUUUCUUUUAUACAUUCUUUCGAUUAUCAGUAACCAUAUUCUUCUAAAUUAUCGCUUUGACUAAAAUCUCUUUUUUUUUGUUAAACAAAUUGGUUUCGUUACCGCGAAUAUGAUAAUCUAUUCUCUUUUAACUUAACUUUCCUUGCUGCAUCCACCAUUUCGAACAACAAGGAAAACAUUCAAGGAAACCAAGAAAACUAAUAACUUCAGGGAGACCCACAUGAUAAUAACGCAAUGAUUACUUCUCCAUGAGGCUCUCCACGUCGAUCUCGUGAAGGCACUCCUAAUGGAUCUCAUAUAAAUGGACAGGCUCAAUUUUAAAAUGUUUAAGCUAUGGAUGAGGCUUUGCAAAAACUUAUUGCCUCAUAGGUAAAUAAAGCUCUUAAGGAUAUAUUAGCCAGUUUCUUGUUGCACCAUCCACACCUACUCCAAAUAAUAACACUUUGGAGAACCCUCAUUCCGGGCUUGUUAAUUCAGGUAGUGGUGGAACCCCAGCAAAUCAUAGGAAGAAAACCAGGUAACUUAGUUAAUUCUGAUUUGAAAAAUUCAGUAUUAACAUUUCAUAAACAGCUCAAGGAUCGAAGUUACCGCAUAGCGCAAAUACCCGAGGUACUGCCCCUAUUCAAAGGGGUAGAUAUGGAUAAAUAUUCACAACAACCCUGGAAGCUAAGUUUUGCUCCCAUCCCAAUUCCAAAGAAAUUCAAAAUGCCUGAUAUUCCAAAAUACGAUAGAACAAUAGACCCACAUGAUUACAUGACUGCAUUCACGACAAGCAUAAAAGGCAAUGAUUUGACCAAGCAGGAGAUUGAAUCAGUAUUGUCAAAAACUUUGGAGAAACACUCAUCAAGUGUGCAUUAACAUGGUAUUCUCUUUUACCCAAAAAUUCUAUAAAUUCUUUUGAUGAGCUUGCAUAUUCUUUCAUCAAAGCAUACUCAGGAGUUCAAAAAUUCGAUAAAAAGGAUGGAAGACAUUUUAAAUAUCAAGCAAGGGGACUCAAAAUUACUCAGGGAGUUCGUAGAUAGAUUCAAACGUGAAAGAACAAUCUUGCCCCGUGUACUUAAUAAUUGGGCCGCUAUAGAUUUCACAAGUAAUUUGAGAGAAAAAAGGUCAGAAGCUACAAGGCGAAUCAAGGAAAGCCUUCAUUAAUUCCCAGCUAUAACAUGGAAUAACAUUUACAACAGGUAUAGUACGAAGUUGAGAAUAGAAGAAGAUAUAGUUCCUCGAUUUCAAAAAAAGGAAAAAGGGUAGUGCGAGAAGGGCGAAAACCGAAAAGAGGUCCGGUAAAAAUAGGUACGAGCCAUACAUGGGAUUUGUGGGAAAAGACUCAUGGUCAAAAUAGGACUAUCAAAGGUAUAAUCCCAGAUCAAUGAAUAGAGAGUUAGGAUCUUCAUCAAGAUUUGGGAAUGAUCGAAACACCCAUGAGUCACGAGAUGAUGAUAGAAAUUUAAAGGCGAGACUUGGCGGUUACAAUUUCAAUGUAAGCACUUCCGAACUCGUAGCUACUUUAAGAAACAUGGGUAACAAGGUAUGAUGACCAAAAGAGAUGAGAUCGAAUCCAAUCAGAGGCAACUCUGACCAUUGGUGCGAGUUUCAUAAUGAUAACGGGAACAAGAUGGCAGAAUGCAUGUUUUUAUAAAGUGAAGUUCAUCAUCUAUUAAAACAGGGGUACCCCACCGAGUUAUUCAGUGAGAAAGGUAAACAAGCUUAUAUGAAGAAUAGGAGGAGCCUCCAAAAUCACCUUCACCCAAAAAGACCGUCAAUGUCGUAAGCGGAGGGGAAGAUAUCAACGGUGUGACAUACACGACAUCCAAUAAAGUUUCUAAGGUCACCAUUACCCACAUAAAGCGGGUGCGACAUGUCUUAGAAGAAGAAAGUAUUACCUUCGAUGAUGCAGAUGCGGGUGGCGUAUUAUCUCCACAUAACGAUGUACCGGUAAUUACUCUACUUGUACAUGAUACUAAUGUACAACGAGUUUUGAUUGAUCCAGGAAGUUCUGUAAAUAUUAUCCUACUAAGGGUACACUACGUGAAAUGCAAGCUAAUGAUAAUUUAGUACCAAAGGCGCAUACUCUGUCCGAAUUUGACAAUUCCAGCAUCGUAACAAAAGGAGAGGCAAUACUUACUACUUUCGCAGAAGGUGUUAUCAAAGAUACUAAGUUUCAGGUAGUAGAUAUUGAGAUGUCCUAUAAUAUGAUCCUUGGGAAACCAUGGAUUCACGAGAUGGAUGUUGUUCCAUCAACCUUACAUCAUGUUAUUAAACUCCAAUCACCAUGGGGAAUAUGUCAAAUCCGUGGGGAUCAACAUACAUUUAGAAGCAUCAAUUUUGUAGCAUAUUCAAGUCCAAGAAACAAAGUAAUAUUGCAACUGCAGAAUCCAAUUGAGGAAAUCACAACAUAAACCUCCAAUUGACAAGAGCAUAUGGAUGUGGACUCAAGGCCAGAUACCAUUCAAGAGCCAGAGGGAAAUGAAAAUACCAAAUUAACGAUUGAAGAAUUAGAAGUCGUAGUAUUAUUCGAACAAUGGCCUGAAAGGAAAGUUUAUGUGGGAGCCAAUCUGAGCCCAGAUAUGAAAAUUAUGUUAAUUGGAUUCUUAAAAGCUAGCGUGGAUUGUUUUUCUUGGUCCCACUCUGAUAUGACAGGAAUACCACCGGAGGUAAUGACUGACAAGUUAAACGAAGACCCAUUUUAUUCUCAUAUCAAACAAAAGAAGAGAAAGCAAGGAACUUUCCAAAAUCAAGUGAUUCAAGAUGAGGUUCAAAAAUUACUAAAUAUUGGGUCUAUCCGCGAGGUAAAGUAUCAUAAUUAGUUAGCUAAUACUGUUGUCGUACCAAAAGAAUGGUAAGUGGCGAGUUUGUGUAGAAUACACAGAUCUUAAUAAAGCAUGUCCUAAAGAUUCUUUUUCAUUACCACAUAUAGAUCAACUAAUUGAUGCUACUGCAGGGCAUGUGCUAAUAAGUUUUUUAGAUGCAUAUUCAGGGUACAAUUAGAUCAAAAUGGAUCCAGUGGAUGAUGAAAAAACUUCAUUCAUACCAAGCAGGGGGACUUACUUUUAUAAAGUAAUGCCAUUUGGUCUGAAAAAUGCCGGUGCAACAUAUCAAAGGUUGGUCACUAAAAUGUUUCAAGAAUAUUUGGGAAAAAACAUAGAGGCUUAUAUAGAUGAUAUGCUAAUUAAAACUUAGCAUUCAAGGUAUCAUAUAUCUCAUUUAUCUGAUACAUUUCAAAUUCUGUGCAAAUUUAACAUGAAGUUAAAUCCCGAGAAAUGUGCAUUUGGCGUCGCAUCAAGUAAGUUUUUAGGUUUUCUUGUUUCUAACCAUGGUAUUGAAAUGAAUCCCGCACAGAUUAAGGCCAUUGAAGAAAUCCCUGACAUGAUUUCAAGCAAAAAAAAAGUUCAGAGAUUAACAGGAAGAAUUGCAGCCUUGGGAAGAUUCAUUUCUAAAUGAAAUCCCUGACAUGGUUUCAAGCAAAAAAAAAAGUUCAGAGAUUAACAGGAAGAAUUACAGCCUUGGGAAAAUUCAUUUCUAAAUCAUCGUAAAAGUGCUGUAAAUUCUUCUCAGCUCUAAAAGAGCAAGAUUAUUUUGAAUGGAAUGAGGAAUGUUAGCAGGCACUUAGAAAUUUAAAAACAUACUUAUCAAAUACAUCGUUGCUCGCAAAACGAAAGGUUGGGGAAAGAUUGCUUAUUUACCUUGUUGUUUCAGCAGUAGCGGUAAGUGUUGUUUUAGUCCGACAAGAACAAAGUAAACAAUACCCCAUCUAUUAUGUUAGAAAAUCUUUGUUAGAUGUAGAGACAUGGUAUCCGCAAUUGGAAAAACUUGCAUUUGCAUUAAUCAUGGCAUCUAGGAAGUUAAGACCUUAUUUUCAAUGUCAUCCUAUUGUUGUAGUAACUUGUUAGCCAUUACACAAUAUAUUAUAUAAGCAUGAGUUUUCGGGUAGGUUAGCUAAAUGGGCUAUAGAAUUAAGUGAAUAUGAUAUUAUAUACCGUACCUAUUACGUAAUAUAUUACAUAAGCAUGAAUUGUCAGGAAAGUUAUCUAAGAGGGGUAUUGAAUUGAGUGAAUAUUAUAUCACUUACCAACCUAGAACCGCUAUAAAAUUUCAGGUAUUAGCUGAUUUCGUGGCUGAUUUAAGCCAAGGGAUGCAAUUAGAAGCAAAAAAAGAGUUGCAGGUGUUCAAUGGAGCUAACCCAGGGACAUAGACCUUAUUCACUAAUGGUUCAUCCAAUGUAAAAGUUGCACGUUUAGGGAUCGUUUUGGUACCACCUAUGGGUGAAACCAUUCGAAGCUAUCAAAUGUCAUUCAAUAAUUAACACUGAGGCAGAAUAUGAGGUUGUGAUUGCAGGUUUAGAGCUGGCACAAGAACUCGGCAUAAAUUAGAUUGUAAUCAAAAGCUAUUCACAACUCGUGGUUAAUUAAAUGUUGGGGAGUUAUGCAGCCGAAGAGGCGAGGAUACAUCAGUAUUUAGAAAAGGUACGGGAAUUGAUAAUGCAAUUUAAAACCUAGAAAGUUGCACAAAUACCAAGGGAUGAAAAUGUUUAAGCAGACGCUCUAGCUAAUCUCGCAUAUGUAGCUGACAUGGAAAACGAUGCAAACACUUCAGUUAUUCAUUUAUUUUAUUCAGUCCUUGACCCCGAUAAGAAUGAGGUAAGUUUUAAUAACUUAACUUGGGAUUAGAGGAACGAGAUUGUUGUUUUUUUGCAGUAUGGUACCGUCCCUGACGAUAAAAAAAGCACAUGCACUUCAAAAAAAGGAUGCUCGGUACUUCUUAAAACAAAAAAAUCUUUAUCAUAAAAUGAUCGGUGGUCCCUUAGUAAGAUGCCUUGGACCUUCUCAAAUAGAGUAGGUAAUGAGACAAAUACACAAAGGACAUUGUGGAAAUCAUGCAGGUGGAAGAUUCCCGGUAAGAACCUUAAUUAGGACAGGUUAUAAUUGGCCUAAAAUAGAAUAGAAAGCAGAAAUUUUCGUGUCUAAAUGUGACAAAUGCCAAAGGUAUGGUAACAAUAUGCAUUGACCUGUGGAGUUAAUACAUCUAGUCAUUUCACUGUGUCCAUUUAUGAAAUGGGAAAUGGAUAUCGUGUGUCCAUUACCACAAGCAAAAGGACAUGUAAAGUUUUUGCACGUACUCAUUGAUUAUUUUACUAAAUGGGUAGCGGCAAGAGCAUUUAAAUGGCUGCGAGAAAAGGAAGUCAAAGAAUAUAUUUGGCGGAAUAUUAUAUGCUAAUUCGGUGUACCAAAGGAGAUCGUAUGUGAUAAUGGCCUUCAGUUUAUAGGAGCUCAAAUCACGGAAUUCUUUCAAAGUUGGCAGAUUAAAAGGAUUACGUCUACACCUUAUCAUCCAAUGGGUAGUGGGCAAGAAGAAUCACUAAACAAGGUCAUUAUCAACAAUUUAAAGAAUCGCUUAGAGGAAUCAAAUGUAACUGGCCUGAAGUGUUGCCUGGAGUUUCAUGGGCAUAUCGCACAACAGCAAAAAUGAGUAUAGGAGAAACACCAUUUUCAUCGGUUUAUGGAGCUGAGGCUUUAAUUCUAGUUGAUAUAGGAUAACCGAGUACACGGUUCAAACAUGCGAUAGAAAAAUAUAAUGACGAGGAGAUGUAGGUCUACCUUUAUUUAUUCGAAGGAAGGAGAGAAGUUGCACUAAUAAGAAUGGCAGCACAAAAACAAUUCAUAGAACGAUAAUACCACCGAAAAGCACGCCUCAAAUUCUUCAAACUUGGGAACUUCGUGAUCAAAAGGUUAUUCAAUCUAGAAAGACAGCGAACGCGGGUAAAUUAAGCCCAACAUGGGAAGGACCCUAUAGAGUUCGUGAUAUUGAAGGAAUAAGAGCAUAUGAACUGGAGACAAUAGAUGGAAAGAUACUACCUUCACAUUGGAAUGUUGUUCAUCUGAAGAGAUACUAUUUCUAAGGAAUACCCACGGUCAGGUAUCCAUGUUUUAAAUUUAAUUUUUGGAUUGAAUUGUUAAUAUUUUACUAACAAUUUUAGAUGAAGGCAAAAAGUUAACCCGUACUAAAUGAUGAGUUACGACUUGUAAGGCACACAGAAUAAACUAAAAUUUCUAGCCUAGGGUUACAAUUAUUCUGAUAGAAAUACAAACAGGUGAGCAGUCUUCAUCAAUAAUUGCACCUCCGAGUCCCGUGAAGUUUUCAUUUUCAAGAAAAGGACCAAAUGAGAAGAACAAUCAAGUGUUCGAGUCUUCAUACUUCAACGCUCAAACACUUGGGGGACUACAUAAUAUACACAUGCAUGUGUAUAAAGAAGGCAAAGAAGAUUGAGAAAAAUCAAAGAUCAAACCUGAAAAACUCAAGUGCACAGAAAAAAUCACGAAGUCACGAGCUAUGACAAAUAAAAGCCUUACUAUAGUUAGGGUAAAGGCUAUGUAGUGAAAUGGGUCAUAAGGAAAAACCUCCUAUUUAUUAUAUGUACUAAAAUGGGUUAUGAGGAAAAACCUUGUGUAUACUAUUCUUCUUUUCUAAAAUUUGUUACAAGAAAAACAGUGAAGAGAAAGUUAUAGAUGUAAUUUAAAUACAUGUAAAGUAUUAUUCAAAACUAGACAAGGUUCAAAGAAACAUGUGUGUUCCUAUUUCUUUUAUCGUAUGUUAAUACCAUUAUGAAGUUGAGACGUCUUCUUCAUUAAGUGUCGAAAUAUAAAAGGUCCUCUUUUAAAAACUUAUAUUUAAAUUAAUUAGUCAUGAGGAUAAUAGAAGUCCUCUUUUAAAAACUCAUAUUUAAAUUAAUUAGUCAUGAGGAUAAUAGAAGCAUUUUUGAAGGUAAAAAUGCAAAUUAUUCUGUAAUUCCUUAAGAAUAAAGACAAGAAUAAAAUAAACAUAAGUUCAAGAUAAUAACAUGAAAACUUCUUAAUAGUUACAAACUUAAGACUAUGUAUGAACUUAGUCGAAAAACUAUGAAUUGUUUAUACAGAUUGCCCCAUGAAAAGACUUGGGGACUUGCCUUUCCAAAAUCAACCAUCAAAUGAAGCCUAGUGUUUAAGAUUGCCCCAUGAAAAGACGUGGGAUUUGCCUUUCAAAAAUCAACCAUCAAAUGAAGCCUAGUGUUUGAUUACAAUUUUCCAAAUAAAAAAACAAAGUCAUUCAAAUAACUAAGGUAGGUCACUGAGAAGUAGGAGGAACUGAAACAAGAGCAUCAAUAGCAACGGGCUCAGUUUGGGCAGGUGCAUCAACAGUUGCGGCUCAACGUGGCUUGCAACAACAUGAUCGACUAGGCUUGAAAGAAUUGGGAUUCUGGAAUCGACUUCAAAGUUCAUAGAAGCUUCAGCCACGGGAGAAGGAAACUCUUGAUUUUGCUGAACUUUCUCAAUGGUUUCAAUUAUCUUAGCCAACUCAGAUUCCAAGUUGAAGUUUUCUUGGCUAGCUUCGUUUAUGGUAUCACAGCGUGAAUUCAAAUAUUCCCAACUCACCUCAAUGGCACAUUUAUCUUCAAGAGGCUCAUAAUCCCCUUUCCCAUUCAGAAAUCUCAUUCCUUAGCUUCUCAAUUUUAGCCAAGGCGGAGUUGUAAGAAGUUUGAAGAGAGGCAUGGAAGCUUUUUAAAGCAUGCACCUUAUGAGAAGAGACUCGAAGGUCUUCUUGUGCUUGAGUUAAAUUUUGCACAAGAUCCCCAGCGUAAGUUUCUUUUUUUCUCAAGAGAGCCUUCAACUCUGUUUUUUUCACUGGACUUGGAUAGUUGUUCUGAGAAGGAAGAUUCAAGACGCUCUUUUUUCUUUUUCUGGCUGGCUUGAGAAAUCUUUUGCAACUGCUAACUCUGAGGUUAAAUCCCGCACAUGUUGUUCCAAGGUACUCGUGCUCUCUUCUAAGAACUCCACAUCAAUUUGUAAACUCUCAAACUGUUCCUUCCAGUUGCACGCCUCUAAUUGAGAAUCACGUGCUAAUUGCUGCAAGAGGGGGAUUUUUUUCAUCAUUUCUGUGCCCUAUAAGAUUGGCCUAAAAAAAAGAGGAAGGAAAAUAAGAAUCCCAAAGAUAGGGAAAUUACAAAGAAAAAAAAAGAGAAGGUGAAUACCUUCUAAGUGCAUGCAGAAUAUCAUUCAUCAGAGUCAGGGAGCUAUGGCUCUCCAACUUGGCUUUUUCAAUUGGGCUAACUAAAGGCUCUAGCAAAACAUCCACCUGACCUGACUUACUCAAAAGACUGCUCUCAACAGGAACUUCAAUGACAACCUUCUUCAUAGAAGCACUUCUACUAGAAGAACCCACUUCAGUAUGAUGAAUUAUUGGAGGAGGAAUAGUGAAAGAAGGAGCAGUAGAAGAGGUAAAAACAGUAGAGGAAGGAACAAAAAAAGCUAGGGUUGGCAAGGAAGGAAUCGCAUGCACGAGUGUUGAAAAGAAAAAGAAGCUAAUAGUGUUUCGUGUAAAAUAGACCCUAAACCUCCACUACCAAAGCCACUUAUAAAAAGUUGUUUAAUGGACUCACGAGUAUCAGUGGGAGUGACAUCAUCAUCAGGAGUUAUUACCAGGGCUUCUAUAGGCUCGGUGAGAGGAAUGGAAAGAUGGGGAGACGCUUCAGCUUCAUCAUCAGAAAUGAUACGUCUUCGAGCCCGCGAACUUGUAACCAAAGAGCCCCAAUCUUCUUUUUCUUCUUCAGAAUCUUUUUCUUCAAUAGCUUUUCUAUUUGGUGAAGUGCCCAAGACUAUUUCUUGAGCCCUUUCUAAAGAGAUAUAGGUUCUUGAAGAGAUGCGGGAAGCCGAAACUACCUAGGCAAUAACUCCCCGAAUAGCAAAUUCUUAUAAAAAGAAGGAAUGAAGUUAGAACAAUAAAAAUAUAUAUACAUGAAAGAUGAAACAAAAUAAAAAUUAUUACAAUGAGUUUUUACUUUCCAACCAAAAUGGUUAGAAAGUGACUUCCAAGACCUACCAUUGGUGCGGUCUUCAACAGCUUGUCUACCCAAUCACGGAAAUUGGGAACAUCCUCCACAACUCCCAUGGUUGCUAAAAAAAUGUGAGAAAUGUUGAUAAACUUGAAGAAAAAGGCACAAGAAGGAUACAAGACUUACGUGCAAAAUUCCACUUCUCAGGAAAGGGAACGUUAUCCUUUCCCACUAAACCUACAAUGGGGGGCAACAACAAACCGGGCAUGCCAGCCACAGUCUUUAUCAUCCUCAAGGCUCACUAAAACCCUCUUACUCCUGGCUACUAGUGUAAUAACACCAUUGCCAAAGACCCUAGGGGAGUAAAGAUGAAUCAAGUGAGGAAAACUAAAGAAAACACCGGCUGUAUUGGUCAAAUGCCUCAAACAUGCAACAUCCCUCCAUAUGAUUGGGCCAAUUUGAGCCCAACUGACGUUGAAGAAACAAAAAAAAUUCAAGAAUGCCUGGGUCAAUAGCUGGUAUAAACCCUAAGGUGAAAGAGUAUGUAUAAAAAAAAGAAACCACAGUUAAGUAAGAGGUGAUUCUUUGAUUUGGAUUAGGGAUAAUAAUAAGAAAUCACUAUUUCAAUGGUAGUCUUUAUGAACUAUAGAAAUCAAACCUUCAGUUUUUUGAGUGGGAUAGACAUCAUCACGAUCAAAGGAAGACACUUGAUUCCGAAAAGACUCUCUUUGAUGAUAAAAAGACAGUUAUGAAGGACUAUCUCUUCUACUAAAAGUUCAUGUAAUGGUUUAAAAGGUUCUUUACCCCUAGAAGAAGAUUUUUGAGAAAGAGAACCCAUGUUUCUAGAAGAGGGACCAGAACUAGGACAGGGCAUAGAAGAACAACCACCAGCAGGCCCAAAACUACGAAGCGUACCUCCCCUUCUACUCCUAAUGGGGGCAUUAGGAAAAGUAUCAACUAUGGAAACUCUCCUAGGGUUAGGGUUUGAUGAAUACAUAGCGAAGAAGGAUGAUACGAGGAAGAAAUAAGGAAAGAAGUCACCACGAGCAGGCCCUAAACUAUGUAGCGUACCUCCCCUUCUACUCCUAAUGGGGGAAUUAGGAAAAGUAUCAACUAUGGAAACUCUCCUAGGUUAGGGUUUGAUGAAGACAUAGUGAAGAAGGAUGAUACGAGGAAGAAACAAGGAAAGAAGUUAUAUUUAUAUUGGUAAACAACCGCCAAAAGAAAAAAAGGCAAUGAUGGAGGGGACAUAAUAAUGAAAACUGAUGCUUCGUGUACAGUGGAGCCGUAAAAAACUUUAAAAGGGGCUGCAAAACUGCAGAACCAAUGUGAAAGUGACACAUGUGAAUAGCAUUAAAUAGAAGUGACAAUUGAAGUGUUUAUUCAGUCAUAGCAUUAAUUGUGACAAAAAUUCUUGCUUUAAUAAAAUCCACUUUUCAAGUAUUCCACUGAUGAAUAAAUAGUAAGUGGGAGGACUAUCUGUAUUGGGAAAAUUUGAGUUUGCAUAAUAAAGUGGAAUAAAGAUGACGUGUCAAAGACACGUCGAGUGGUCAAAAUAUUACAAUUGGCAAAGAGAUACGAGCAAAGACUGAGGAAGAGGCAAGGGCAGUUAUUCAAAUGACUCAGCGCCCGUACCUAUUUAAGUCCUUGAAGUCCUAGAAUCAAAGGGAAUACAAAAGAGUACAGAUACAACAUUUAAUGCCGAAUACGUUAGGGAAUCUAUAUUAAAUAUAAUGAUUAUGUAACGUAGUAUUCAAUGUCUUUAAUUACCCAUAAUAUCCUCAUUAUGGCAUAGGCAAAAUGCCUAUCUCCAAGGUAUCUAUAAAAGGGAGAUAAUUGAUCAACUGUGAGGACACGAAAUACUAUCUGAAUAUACUUUGAUUUACUUGUUUCUGAUUAUCUUACUUCUAGCCAAAUUACUUUUCUAUAUAUAUUCUUUCGAUUAUCAGUAACCCGUAUUCUUCUAAAUUAUAGCUUUGACUAAAAUUUUAUUUUUUUGGUUAAACAAUGAGAAUAACGUACAACAUGGAAUUGGACUAGGCACUCGUAAAACGGUUUGGGCCAGAUGUGGGAAAGUCUUGUCUCUUAAAAUUUGCGCUUCAAGCGCCCACCCAUAAAAGGGCAUCCAAGCCCAUCACAUAAGGCUCGUCCAAUUGAUUUUGUGCAAUCGAGUGUAAUUAGUUAUGUAAAUCCAUAAAUUCCUUAAAUCAUAAGUGAGAACAUUGCAAGCUUUGUCUUGUCUUUAAAACAUUAGGGGGGUAAAGUUAACCUAUACCUAUAUUGGUGGAAGAAAGCAGACGCAGUCCAUUUUUUGUUAAACUUACCCAAACAACCAUUUAUUAUCGCGAGAGAGAACUUCAAAUAAUAGUAAGAAAAUGUUUCUUGAUUCAUUUACUUCACCUGAGGUACAUAUCACAUUAUGUUUCCAAGAUUGUUUUUUUUUUCUUUUGAUGUUGGAUUGUUGAUGUUCCAUAUCUAUGCUAAUGUUUUCACAAUUAUAUUUAUUUAAUUAGAGUUUUAAAAGAUUAUUGUGUUUUUAGCAAUUUAUUUUUAACUAUCCUACUAUUUGUAGAUUUAUAAAUUAGUUAAAUUUAAAGAUUUAUGGGGCUUGCACACCAUGUCUGGAGCUACACUUCGCCUUGGGCGUCCAUCCUUCAAUACACUACGUCAAACCUUAAAGCGUUAACUUUUGCCAUUUUUGUGCUUUUCAAUUUUUAUUUAGAGCUUACACUUCGUCUUGGGCGUCCAUCCUUCAAUACACUACGUCAAACCUUAAAGCGUUAACUUUUGUCAUUUUUGUGCUUUUCAAUUUUUAUUUAAAUCUUUUCAACUAAGUUUGAAUAGAUGUUCAGGAGGUGUACUUAUGGACUAACGAAUGACUUCAGUCUAUUAAAGUACGCAGUAUUAGACAAAGAAGACGACACAAUUAAGAAAAGUAGAAUGCAAAGAAUCUCGAUAUAAUAAUGAGCAGAAUUGAUGGAGAUCUCAAGGAUGUUACUUAAAUUAAACAAUAAAUAAUACAGAUUAUUAAAACAAAAGAACAUUGAACACAUAAUAAGCAAACCCGAUCAUUUCGAGAAGCAUAUAUCAAAUUUUGGCUGAGGAAAUGGAGUUUGCCAAAAAAGGCCAAAAAGGAAUAAAAAUCAUGGAAUUAAAUGGCGAAAAUGACUGAAUAGUUAAAAUUAGUAGUAGGUCGGAGGAGGAGAUGCUGAUGGGGGUGGAGGUGAAGCAUAGGUGGUGGAUUGCUCGUACUUCUGAGGCGGUGCUGGUGACACAUAGGUAGGAGUUUGCUUGAAAUAGUUUGUUGGUGGUGGAGGUGAGUAAUAAGAUGGUGAUUUUUCAUAGGUCUUUGGUAGAGAUGGCAAGUUGUAACUUAUAGGUGGUUGCUCGUAGUAUUUUGGUGGAGGUGGAGGAGAUUUAUAAAAAGGUGUAGAUUCUUUAUAGUAUGGUGGAGGUGGAGAUUUGUAAGAAGAUGGUGACUGCUCAUAGUAUGUUGGAGGAGGUGGGGGUGACUUAUAGUACGAGGGUGAUUUCUCAUAAUAAGUUGGCGGUGGUGGAGAUUUAUAGUAAACUGGGGACUUGUAAUUUUUUUUUGGUGCCGGUGACUUAUAAUAUUUAGAAGGAGCAGGCGAUUUAUAGUAUUUUGUUGCGGCUGGUGACUUGUAGAACUUUGCAGGUGAUAGCGCUUUGUAGUACUUUUCAGGUGAUGGUGACUUGUAGUAGUUCAAUGAAGGAGCUGGUGACUUGUAGUAUUU
rnacentral:lncRNA from 1 species